rnacentral:rRNA from 1 species
UCGAGCGCUUGCACAAGAAAGCUUGCUUUCUUGUUGCUUGAGCGGCGGACGGGUGAGUAACACGUGGGCAACCUGCCUAUAAGACUGGGAUAACUUCGGGAAACCGGAGCUAAUACCGGAUAAUGCUUUUGAACACAUGUUCGAAAGCGGAAAGAUGGUUUCGGCUAUCACUUAUAGAUGGGCCCGCGGCGCAUUAGCUAGUUGGUGAGGUAACGGCUCACCAAGGCGACGAUGCGUAGCCGACCUGAGAGGGUGAUCGGCCACACUGGGACUGAGACACGGCCCAGACUCCUACGGGAGGCAGCAGUAGGGAAUCUUCCGCAAUGGACGAAAGUCUGACGGAGCAACGCCGCGUGAGUGAUGAAGGUUUUCGGAUCGUAAAACUCUGUUGUUAGGGAAGAACAAGUACNGGAGUAACUGCCGGUACCUUGACGGUACCUAACCAGAAAGCCACGGCUAACUACGUGCCAGCAGCCGCGGUAAUACGUAGGUGGCAAGCGUUGUCCGGAAUUAUUGGGCGUAAAGCGCGCGCAGGCGGUUCUUUAAGUCUGAUGUGAAAGCCCACGGCUCAACCGUGGAGGGUCAUUGGAAACUGGGGAACUUGAGUGCAGAAGAGAAGAGCGGAAUUCCACGUGUAGCGGUGAAAUGCGUAGAGAUGUGGAGGAACACCAGUGGCGAAGGCGGCUCUUUGGUCUGUAACUGACGCUGAGGCGCGAAAGCGUGGGGAGCAAACAGGAUUAGAUACCCUGGUAGUCCACGCCGUAAACGAUGAGUGCUAAGUGUUAGAGGGUUUCCGCCCUUUAGUGCUGCAGCAAACGCAUUAAGCACUCCGCCUGGGGAGUACGGCCGCAAGGCUGAAACUCAAAGGAAUUGACGGGGGCCCGCACAAGCGNNNGAGCAUGUGGUUUAAUUCGAAGCAACGCGAAGAACCUUACCAGGUCUUGACAUCCUCUGCCACCCCUAGAAGAUAGGGCGUUCCCCUUUCGGGGGACGGAGUGA